CUUUGUAGCCAAACUUCCUUGUCAAAGCCUGACCUCAUCAGAUCUCAGAGGCUCAGCAGAUUUGGACCAGUUCAAUACAUGGAUGGCAGACCACUGGAAUAUCAGGUGCGACAGUGG
rnacentral:rRNA from 1 species